UACGUAGGGGCCGAGCGUUGUCCGGAUUUACUGGGCGUAACGCGCGCGCAGGCGGCUCGUCAAGCCUGACGUGAAAGCCCCCGGCUCAACUGGGGAGGGUCACGCGAUACUGAUCGACUCGAAGGCAGGAGAGGGAAGUGGAAUUCCCGGUGUAGUGGUGAAGUGCGUAGAUAUCGGGAGGAACACCAGUGGCGAAGGCGACUUCCUGGCCUGUUCUUGACGCUGAGGCGCGAAAGCUAGGGGAGCAAACGGG
rnacentral:rRNA from 1 species